CGACUGGGGGAUGGCUCGGCUCGAGAGCCGAAGAAGGUCGUGACAAGCUGCGAAAAGUUGCGGGGAGAGGCAUGAAUCUCUUGGAUCCGCAAAUUGCUGAAUAGGACCUCCUGGCACUCUGUGCCAUUCCUAAAUGGAAAGGGAACCUCCUGAACUGAAGCAUCUCAGUAGGGAGAGGAAAAGAAAUCAAAUGAGAUUCCGUGAGUAGUGGCGAAUGAAAACGGAAUAGGACAAACCGAAUCCCCAUGGGAAACCAUGGGGAGAUGUGGGGUUUGGACCGUCUAUUGUCUAAGUUAUGGAAAUAGAAGUCGCCUGGAACGGCGCACCAUAGUGGGUGAAAGUCCCGUAUAUGUACAUAAUAUGACCAAGUGACGAGUCCAGAGUAGCGUGCGUUGGAUAUCGCGCGUGAAGAUGGGAGGCAGGAACUUCCAAUCCUGAAUACUACUCGAGACCGAUAGUUGACAAGUAGCGUGAGCGAAAGCUGAAAAGUAUCCUUAGCGGGAUGUGAAAAGAACCUGAAACCAGUCGGGAACAAGCUGAAUAGGCGUGAAAGCGAAGAUAUGAGCAGCGUCUAUUCGUGCGUUUCGAAUAAUGCCCCUGGGAGUUCUGAUUAAUGGCGAGGUUAAGGAGUUGAUCUCCGAAGCCGAAGGGAAACCGAAAGGUCCGCAGCCGCUUAGGCGGUGAGGGACUGGGUGUGCUCGCCCGGAGUCAUUAGUGGGAGACCUGAAGCCUGUCGAUCUAUGCCUGGCCAGAUUGAAGCCCGAUGAAAGUUGGGUGGAGGAUCACACCGUUGCUGAUGUGCAAAUCGCUCGGAUGAGCUGGGUAUAGGGGUGAAAGUCCAAUCGAGACGGGCAAUAGCAGGUUCCGCGCGAGACUACUCGUAGGUAGAUCUUCGUGGAGGUAGAUAACGAUGUAGAGCACUGAUUGGGUAUUUAGGGGGAGCGAUCCCUCGGUACGCUGUCAAACUCCGAAGUUGUUAUCGCCGUAGAAGCGAGGAGUGAGCCACGGUGGGUAAGCUACCGUGACGAAAGGUGAAGAAACCAGCUCAGUGUUAAGGUCCCAAAAUUACAGUUAAGUGUUAAUCACAAACGGCGUCCGUGGUCGAAGACAACCAGAAGGUGGGCUUAGAGGCAGCCAUCCUUGAAAGAGUUCGUAACAGAUCACUGGUCAAGCUUACGGGCCCGAAAAAUGGACGGGACUCAAACUGUAUACCGAUACACUGAUCCUUCGAAAGAAGAUGAGGUAGCGCGGCGAUGUGCUCGGGUAGAAGCUAGGUUUUGAGAUCUAGUGGACCGUGUACAUAUGAGAAUCUAGGGAAGAGUAGCAGCAUAGUGCGGUGAGAAACCGCACCACCGAAGGGGUAAGGGUUCCUCGGCAAUGGUUAUCAGCCGAGGGUUAGCCGGUCCUAAGGUCAUUCUUAACCGACAUGAUCGAAAGGGAAUAGCGUUAAUAUUCGUUAGCCCCUCUACAAAAAAUGGUGACGGCUUGGGAUAGUUCGUACGCAUCUGUCAUGGUGCGUCGAAGCGUACAAUAAACAUCUGGAGAACCGUAAUGGUGAGAAAGAUGAGAAGACGUGAGCAAAUGACGAAUGAGUCCUAGGUCCCAUGAAAAACCGUAGAGGUGACCGUACCAAGAACUGACACAGGUACCCAAGGUGAGAAGCCUAAGGUGUGACGGGCAAAGUACCGCGAAGGAACUCGGCAAAAUAGCUCUGUAACUUCGGGAGAAGGAGUGCCAGCUUCGAGAGAAGCUGGUCGCAGUAACAAGGGGACUCCGACUGUUUAAUAAAAACAUAGCCGACUGCUAGAUCGAAAGGUUGUGUAUAGUCGGUGAAUCCUGCUCAGUGCUGGUAUCUGAAACCGGGUUUCAACCUGGCGAAGGACCAGUAAACAGCGGGGGUAACUAUGACCCUCUUAAGGUAGCGUAAUACCUUGUCGCUUAAUUGGCGACUUGCAUGAAUGGCACAACGA
rnacentral:rRNA from 1 species